rnacentral:rRNA from 1 species
AUACAUGAGCAAAAUCUCAACUUUAUUAGAAGAGACGCAUUUAUUAGAUAAAAAGCCAAUGCAUGCUUUUACAGUAUGGAAAUUGGUGAUUUAUAAUAACUUGGCAAAUCGCAAAGUGAAAACAGGCGAUAAAUCAUUCAAGUUUCUGACCUAUCAGCUUUCGACGGUAUGGUAUUGGCUUACCGUGGCAGUGACGGUUAACGGGGGAUUAGGGUUCGAUUCCGGAGAGGGAGCCUGAGAAACGGCUACCACAUCUAAGGAAGGCAGCAGGCGCGCAAAUUACCCAAUUCUAACAGUUUGAGAGAGGUAGUAACAAGAAAUAACAAUACAAGGCAAUUAAAAUGUUUUGUAAUUGGAAUGAUAGAAAUUUAAACCCUUUUUAAAGUAUCAAUUGGAGGGCAAGUCUGGUGCCAGCAGCCGCGGUAAUUCCAGCUCCAAUAGCGUAUAUUAAAAUUGUUGCAGUUAAAAAGCUCGUAGUUGAAGUUCUGCUAAAAGUAACCGGUCUGCUUUUAAUAAAAGUGGUAUCUUGGUGUGUAUUUAGCAAUGAUGUCCUUUGAAGUGUUUUUUACUUUAUUGUAAUAAAGCAUAUUCAGGACUUUUACUUUGAGAAAAUUAGAGUGUUUCUAGCAGGCCGACGCUUUGAAUACUGCAGCAUGGAAAAUAAUAAGGAA